rnacentral:lncRNA from 1 species
GCACGAUGGCCUGCAGGUCAUCAUAGCCUUUCUACAGGGGGCAGAGUCACGGCUCAGGCGCACGGAGCGCCACACGGGGCGGUGCUCACACGGAAAUCCGCGAUGGGGACCCGCACCCCAGAGCCCCCCACGCAGUCAACAGCGGCUCCUGGGAGCCGAUCCGGCACAAAACAAAGGGAAAGGGCGCGCACAGGGCAGAGCGGGGUGCCCCGGGAGCAGCGCCGGGCCUCCGAGGUACCUUGAUGGCGUUGCGCCUCUUCUGCUCCGCCUGCGUGUGCGCCCGGCGGCGCUGAUCUUUGUAGGACUCCUUGUAGUGCUCCUGGGGGUAAUCGCUGUCCUCGUCGUCGGUGUUGGGCACGGAGGAGGCGCUGGUGGAGCCGAUGCUGUUGGCGCGGGACACCACGCUGCCCUUCCGCGCGCCGUCCAUGAAGAGCGCCGGCUCCGGGCCGCUGUCCCCGUACGCGGCGUCCACCUUCCCCCACGCUUCCUCCGCCGCGGCACCGGGCGGCUCCGCCAUCUUCCCCCGCCCCGGUCACGUGAGCGCCGC